rnacentral:rRNA from 1 species
CCUACGGGAGGCAGCAGUAAGGAAUAUUGGUCAAUGGAGGCAACUCUGAACCAGCCAUGCCGCGUGCAGGAAGACUGCCCUAUGGGUUGUAAACUGCUUUUAUCCGGGAAUAAACCUGCUUACGUGUAAGUAGCUGAAUGUACCGGAAGAAUAAGGAUCGGCUAACUCCGUGCCAGCAGCCGCGGUAAUACGGAGGAUCCAAGCGUUAUCCGGAUUUAUUGGGUUUAAAGGGUGCGUAGGCGGCCUGUUAAGUCAGGGGUGAAAGACGGUAGCUCAACUAUCGCAGUGCCCUUGAUACUGAUGGGCUUGAAUGGACUAGAGGUAGGCGGAAUGAGACAAGUAGCGGUGAAAUGCAUAGAUAUGUCUCAGAACACCGAUUGCGAAGGCAGCUUACUAUGGUCUUAUUGACGCUGAGGCACGAAAGCGUGGGGAUCAAACAGGAUUAGAUACCCUGGUAGUCCACGCCCUAAACGAUGAACACUCGCUGUUGGCGAUACACAGUCAGCGGCUAAGCGAAAGCGUUAAAGNGUUCCAACCUGGGGAGUUACGCCCGCGAAGGGUUGAAACUUCAAUUGAAUUGACGG